GAACGGGUGAGUAACACGUGGGUGAUCUGCCCUGCACUUUGGGAUAAGCCUGGGAAACUGGGUCUAAUACCGAAUAGGACCACGCGCUUCAUGGUGUGUGGUGGAAAGCUUUUGCGGUGUGGGAUGGGCCCGCGGCCUAUCAGCUUGUUGGUGGGGUAAUGGCCUACCAAGGCGACGACGGGUAGCCGGCCUGAGAGGGUGACCGGCCACACUGGGACUGAGAUACGGCCCAGACUCCUACGGGAGGCAGCAGUGGGGAAUAUUGCACAAUGGGCGCAAGCCUGAUGCAGCGACGCCGCGUGAGGGAUGACGGCCUUCGGGUUGUAAACCUCUUUCAAUAGGGACGAAGCGCAAGUGACGGUACCUAUAGAAGAAGCACCGGCCAACUACGUGCCAGCAGCCGCGGUAAUACGUAGGGUGCGAGCGUUGUCCGGAAUUACUGGGCGUAAAGAGCUCGUAGGUGGUUUGUCGCGUUGUUCGUGAAAACUCACAGCUUAACUGUGGGCGUGCGGGCGAUACGGGCAGACUAGAGUACUGCAGGGGAGACUGGAAUUCCUGGUGUAGCGGUGGAAUGCGCAGAUAUCAGGAGGAACACCGGCGGCGAAGGCGGGUCUCUGGGCAGUAACUGACGCUGAGGAGCGAAAGCGUGGAGAGCGAACAGGAUUAGAUACCCUGGUAGUCCACGCCGUANACGGUGGGUACUAGGUGUGGGUUCCUUCCUUGGGAUCCGUGCCGUAGCUAACGCAUUAAGUACCCCGCCUNNGGAGUACGGCCGCAAGGCUAAAACUCAAAGGAAUUGACGGGGGCC
rnacentral:rRNA from 1 species